rnacentral:lncRNA from 1 species
CUAAUUUUAUUGAUUUGAGUCCUCUCUUUUUUUUCUUGAUAAGUCUGGCUAAGGUUUUAUCAAUUUUAUUGAUCUUUUCCAAGAUCCAGGUUUUAGUUUCAUUGAUCUUUUCUAUGGUUUUCUUCCUCUCUAUUUCAUUGAUUUCUGUUCUGAUAUUUAUGAUUCCUUUACUUCUGCUAACUUUAGGUCUUGUCUGUUCUCUCUCUAGCUGAUUUAGAUGUAAAGUUAGAUUGUUUAUUUGAGCUUUUUCUUGUUUCCUGAGGUAGGCUUGUAUUGCUAUAAACUUUCCCUUAGAACUGCUUUUGCUGCAUCCCAUAGGUUUUGGAGUAUUGUAUCUUUGUUGUCAUUUGCUUCUAGGUAGUUUUUACUUUUGAUUUCUUCAGUGAUCCAUUGGCUGUUUAGUAGCAUGUUGUUUAUUCUCCACUUGUUUGUGUUUUUUGCAGUUUUUUUUCUUGUUGUUGAUUUCCAGUCAUAGAGUGUUGUGGUCAGAAAAGAUGUUUGAUAUGAUUUCAAUUUUCUUAAAGUUGCCAAGGCUUGAUUUGUAGCCCAGAAUGUGAUCAAUCCUAGAGAAUGUUCCAUGUGCACUUGAGAAGAAUGUGUAUAGAAAUCCAUAUAUUUUUAAAAUUUGCCAACCUCCACAGCAAGGUUUUCAACAACUGAGUUUGUGUGAUUAACCAACAAGUCUUCCUGAACCCUAGUGAGAACCAACAUCCUAAACCAAUAUCUUUUGGAAAUAUUUGAAAGAAAUAUAAGUUCUAGUCCUUGUUGUCAAAGCAGAGGAACUAACAAUUAUUAAGCACCUAAGAGUUACUUUGCAGAAGUAAACUUUUCACUUUCAUGUAAUCUUUAUGAAUUGAUAAGGUGAUUACUAUUAUACUCAUUCUAUUGAUGAUCUAAUUCCCUGGCACAAGGAGUAAAUUUCCCAAAAAACAAUGGCAUAACCAGUUAGUGGUGGAAUACUAAAUUUAGCUCAGUUGUAGCUAUUGUUAAAACUCAAGUUUCUCCACCUGGGAAAGGAACUGAAUCAAAUAUUAAAGUCCUAGACAUCUUACACCAGCCAGAAUGACCAACAUUAAACAGUCUACAAACAACAAAUGUUGGACAGGGUGUGGAGAAAAGGGAAACUUCUUUGCUAUCAGUGGGAAUAUAAGUUGUGCAGCAGCUAUGGAAAUCAGCAUGGAUGUUCCUCAAAAUUCCUAAAAUAGAACUGCCAUAUGAUCCAACAAUCCCACUUCUGGGCACAUACCCAAACAAAACUAUAACUACAAAAGAUAUAUGUUCCACUAUGUUCAUAGCAGCACUGUUCACAAUAGCCAAAACUUGGACACAACCUAAAUGCCCAUGGACCAAUGACUGGAUUAAGAAGAUGUGGUAUAUAUAUAUACAAUAGAAUGCUACUCAGCCAUAAAAAGGAACAAAAUAAUGCCAUUUACAGCAAUAUGGAUCCAACUAGAGAUUCUCAUACUAAGUGAAACAAGUCAGAAAGAGAAACAGAAGUACCAUGUGAUAUCACUUAUAUGUGGAAUCUAAGAUUAGGCACAAAUGAAUCUAUCUAAAAAACAGAAAGAGAUUCACAGACAGAGAACAGACUUGUAGUUGUUAGGGGGAGGGUGGGUUGAGGGAGAGAUGGAUUGAGAGUUUGGGAUUAUCAGAUCAAACUAUUAUAUAUAGAAUUGAUAGAAAAUAACAUCCUACUGAAUAGCACAGGGGACUAUAUCCAAUCUCCUGGAAUAGACCAUCAUGGAAAAGAAUAUAAAAAAGAAUAUAUACAUACAUGUAUAUAAAAGAAUAUAUAUAUAUAACUCAAUCACUUUGCUCUACAGCAGAAAUUAAUACAUUGUAAAUAAACUGUACUUUAAUAAAAAAUUAAUAAAAUCCUAGAGAAUAAUUAAAGUUUAAGCUAGGUCAUGGUGACUGUGCUAAGACUUUACAGAAAAGAACAAAGGAACACACUGAUAAGAAAUAUGUCACUCUGAAAGACUUAGCAAAGGAUGUAAGCCUUGGGACAUAGGAGGAGGAGUAGAAAGAACAGCAUGAAUGAAAGCCUGGUGACUAUGGGCAACUUAUCAGGUCCUAAUAUUCUAAUGAAGUGUUUAUCUCCCUCCUUCCCUCUCUCUGUCUCUUACACAUACACACAUACCCUCAAGCUUCUGUUAAGGGAUAUCUUUUGCUUUUGCUUCACACUGUGUUUCCCCAUCUUUUGAUACUAGCACACUUUUGCUGUCUUUCCUCUGGGGAAUGGUCCUGCCAUUCUUCUGUCCUGGAGCUUCACUAAUGCUGAAGCUAGAGCCCUCUGCACAAGGGCACACUCAGACAUGCUGAUCCUGGAAGUGAAAGGGAGUCAAGCCUAUGGGGGCAGCCCUUGGCUAGCGAUGUACCUUCCAUUCCUUGAGCAAACAAUGCUUCUCUUCAUAAGGUACCAGGUAGAGUGACCAUGAGUUGCCCACAGUGCUGGCCAGUCCAUGAAUGCACCUUUUCAGUUUUCUCCUCCAAUUCACCCUUGAUUGUCCCAUUACCACUACUCCCUGGUGUCACUUCCCCACAUUAACUGCCUGUUCCAAACCCUUGAAUUAUUCUCUGCCUUCAAGGAAACCCAAGUUAAGACAGUUCUUCAUACUGAGAUGCCCAAAUUGCCCUCUGCCCAUCUUUCCCAAGGCAAUACUAUCCAACUUUUACUCUGAUACUGACCUAUCUUCUACUCUUCCAAUAGCUUUCUUGCUCUGCUUACAUAUCUGGCAUCCGUUUUUGUUCCUUACCACCAAAGAACCUGAACUGAUUUGAAGUUUUACUUCAAGUGAACCCAUAUUAUAUACCAUUGGAUAAUAGGAGGAUAGAUCUAUGCAUACAAAUAAAGAAAUCUUGCUGAUGAUCAGAGUGGUUGUUGCUUUAGAUGGCAAGAAAUUCUGAAACAUCUGACAGUAUUAUUAAGUUGCUCUUAAAAAAACGAAUAUUAUGAAUGGCCUGGACAGUUGUCUGGCAGUGAUUCAUGGUGUUUCUGCCAAUGCCCACACCUGGCAUGAUGAAGUGCUGAAAUCCAGCAUUUCCUUGACAACUGUCUGGGCAUCUAAAACUAAAACUCCAUAUGAUUUGAUACCUUUCCUAUUAGCUCACCUACCACUCUCUGAAAUCAUUACCUUAUGCUGUUUCUCACUUAAGGACCACUUCUGUGACAGAAUAACCUUUGCACGAAAACACAAAUUGCUUGCGAUUUCUUCAGGUAAUGAACUAAAGACUGGAUGCAAGACUCAAAUGUAUGUCUCUUGGUUUCCCAAGACACUGUUUAUCCACUCAAUCAUACAGCUUUCCAUUGCCACUUGAAACAAACAGGUUAGAUUCCUAUUAAGUCUAAGUAUACCUAUCAUGCAUUCACCUAUCUAGCUAUCUAGCCAUUGACUCUCUUUCUUCCUGUCAUCUAUCUUCUAUCCAGUUUCUAAAUCUUUCCAAAUACACAAAGAGCAGCCCUGAAAAGUAGCCAUGUUUCUAAAAUUUGCAUCUGAAACUGCAAAUAGAAAACCUACUUUACUAUAAUGCAUCUGGCCCUUGUUAGUUCUUACUCUAUUGUAUCUUUUACUGUCAUGAAGUUUCCAGAUGUGCAAGUCUAUCUCCUAAGUUAAUAUGUUAACUGUAGUAUAAACUAUACUACAGAAUUGCUGAAACAAAGUUGACACUCCUGGGCUUCCAGAACUCUUCCAUACAGGAGCAGUCUAUGUCUUGCUGACCAGAUGCCAAGAUCAUAAAAAUCCACUGCCUAGGAAACUUGCAAAUAUGUCCAAAAUGUCCCCCACCUCCAAACAGGGGUGCGGGUCUUACACUCUG